rnacentral:rRNA from 1 species
CGGCGAACGGGUGAGUAACACGUGGGCAACCUGCCCCAGACACCGGGAUAACCCAGGGAAACCUGAGCUAAUACCGGAUACUCCGGCGAGAUCGCAUGGUCAUGCCGGGAAAGCUCCGACGGUCUGGGAUGGGCCCGCGGCCUAUCAGCUUGUUGGUGGGGUAACGGCCUACCAAGGCGUCGACGGGUAGCUGGUCUGAGAGGACGGACAGCCACACUGGGACUGAGACACGGGCCAG